GAUGAACGCUGGCGGCGUGCCUAAUACAUGCAAGUCGAGCGAACAGACGAGGAGCUUGCUCCUCUGACGUUAGCGGCGGACGGGUGAUUAACACGUGGAUAACCUACCUAUAAGACUGGGAUAACUUCGGGAAACCGGAGCUAAUACCGGAUAAUAUAUUGAACCUCAUGGUUCAAUAGUGAAAGACGGUUUUGCUGUCACUUAUAGAUGGAUCCGCGCCGCAUUAGCUAGUUGGUAAGGUAACGGCUUACCAAGGCAACGAUGCGUAGCCGACCUGAGAGGGUGAUCGGCCACACUGGAACUGAGACACGGUCCAGACUCCUACGGGAGGCAGCAGUAGGGAAUCUUCCGCAAUGGGCGAGAGCGUGACGGAGCAACGCCGCGUGAGUGAUGAAGGUCUUAGGAUCGUAAAACUCUGUUAUUAGGGAAGAACAAAUGUGUAAGUAACUAUGCACGUAUUGACGGUACCUAAUCAGAAAGCCACGGCUAACUACGUG
rnacentral:rRNA from 1 species